rnacentral:rRNA from 1 species
CCCUUAGAUGUUCUGGGCCGCACGCGCGCUACACUGAUGCAUUCAACGAGCCUAGCCUUGACCGAGAGGUCCGGGUAAUCUUUGAAACUGCAUCGUGAUGGGGAUAGAUUAUUGCAAUUAUUAAUCUUCAACGAGGAAUUCCUAGUAAGCGUGAUUCAUCAAAUCGCGUUGAUUACGUCCCUGCCCUUUGUACACACCGCCCGUCGCUCCUACCGAUUGAAUGUGUUGGUGAGGAGCUCGGAUUGGCAGCAGUUGGUGGUUCGCCACCGGCUAUUGCUGAGAAGUCCUCCAAACCGCCCCAUUUAGAGGAAGGAGAAGUCGUAACA